GCUCUUUUAUUACCUUUGCCAAGUUGGAUGAGGUCUUCACAUUCUUUGCCGCCAUUCAAUGCAGGUCUUGUCAUAUAUCUUACUCUGUAUCUGGUUCCAGAAGCAUCAGGUGCACUCCAGUCAGACCAGUCAGACAUGAUACAUGGAAGUGGUACUAUAAUACAAAUAUAGAUAAAUUUGAAUACAUAGUUUAAUAUAUUUCAGUAUGUGUCAAUUUCUAAACUAACUAAUAAGGUGAAAUAACAAUAUUAUCCAAGGAAAAUUCAAACUUAUAUAAGACUGAAAAGUUGUUGUCAAUGACUGCCAUACAAGUUCUCUUUUUUUCUGGGAAAAACCAAAUGUGUUGUAUAUGCUUUUAAACAUAUGUUUUUUUGGGUGUCAGUCAGGCCACAUAACCAGUGUAACAAAAAAAAAGUUAAUGAAAAAAGCAAAGUGUUUACAUUUAAUUCUAAUAUGAAAUGCUUCUUUAGCUUUGUAAACAACACUGUGAUAAAAUUCUCGAUAAAAUAUACUCAGAGAUAUACAUAAAAUGGCUGUUAAUAUACUCCCAGUAAAUCUACUAUUUGGAACCUAUUGCAGACCCUUUGUCAAUUUUAUUGUUUUAAAAAGUGCAAUUAAAAAAAGACAAAAUAACUUUUAUUCUUAUUCGUAUGCAUAAUAAAAAGAAGUAAUACACAAGAGCUCGGAGAAAUCAACAAAAUAAAAAUUAAAUAAAAUUCCGUGAUAGUCUAUUAAUCUUUUUGGCACAUUUACUGUAAGUCAUUUCAAAACAUGAAGUCAUACAAAUGAAACAACUAAAGUUGAAAGUUUUCUGUUACGUGAACCAUAGAAAUUCAUAUGAUAUUAUAUUGAAACUUGUUUUUGAGGUAGGUUUGUUUUAUUUGGUUUGAGAAUUUAUAGAAUUAAAAAGUUCCUUUUCUAACAGUUAUUCACAAAAUAACCUACCCAAGCUACAUAUUUAUAAAGAUAUUUGAGCUUUAUCUAACAGGGAGUUAAAAAGAACAGCCACCAACAGUAUACCCACCUCACUUCAGUUUAAAUGACCGGUUUUGUGCUUUAGAAUCAAAAUAAUUCAUGGAAGCCAUAGAUUGUUGGAAAUUUUACACAUGGCCUGGGCCGUGAUAUUUGUUAAUUUUAUCCCUCGCUUACGCUCAGGAUAAUUCAAAUAUCACGGCCCAGGCCAUGUGUAAAUUUCCAACAAUCUAUGGCUUCCAUGAAUUAUUUCUUAAAGAAACAUGACUUCAACUAUGUUAAAAUCAUCAUACCUUUGCCAAGUUGGAUGAGGUCUUCACAUUCUUUUCCACCAUUCAAUGCAGGUCUGACAACAUAUCUUACUCUGAAUCUUGAUCCUGAGGCAUCUGGUGCACUCCAGUCAGACCAGUCAGACAUAAGACAUGGCAAUGGUACUGGAAUAAUAUAAGAGAGUGAAAUAACAAAAUACUUUUUAAAAUAUGGAUAUCUUGUUUCAAAUAUUAUUUUUUUUGCAUAGGUUUAGUGACUUGUUUGUAUUUUGAUUGCUUUUCCUUUUGGUCAUGCUAUUAUCUGUUUUUUUUUUACUUUUACUUCAUGAAUGUCCCUUGAGAAGAUAUUUUCAUAUGUAUAUUCAUUCCAAACUCAAAUCUUUGAUAUUAUGUUGUUCAGUUGUUUCCUUUAAAAGUUGAUGUGUUUCCAUCUGUUUAAGUUUGUAAUCCGGAUUUGUUUUCUCAUAAUUGAUUUUGUAUUUUGUAUACUACUGUUGCCUUUAUUUACCUUUCUUAAGUUGAAUGAGGUCUUCGCAUUCUUUUCCACCAUUAAGAGAUGGUCUUACUACAUAUCUAACUCUGAAGAGGGAUCCAGAAGCAUCUGGUCCAGCCCAUGCAGUCCAGUCACUCAUGAUGCAUGGCAAUUCAG
rnacentral:lncRNA from 1 species